rnacentral:tRNA from 2 species
GUCGGCAUAGCUCAGCUGGUUAGAGUAUCACCUUGACAUGGUGGGGGUCGUUGGUCCGAAUCCAACUGUCGACA